AUUGAACGCUGGCGGCAUGCCUUACACAUGCAAGUCGAACGGCAGCACGGGUGCUUGCACCUGGUGGCGAGUGGCGAACGGGUGAGUAAUACAUCGGAACAUGUCCUGUAGUGGGGGAUAGCCCGGCGAAAGCCGGAUUAAUACCGCAUACGAUCUACGGAUGACAGCGGGGGACCUUCGGGCCUCGCGCUAUAGGGUUGGCCGAUGGCUGAUUAGCUCGUUGGUGGGGUAAAGGCCUACCAAGGCGACGAUCAGUAUCUGGUCUGAGAGGACGGCCGGCCACACUGGGACUGAGACACGGCCCAGACUCCUACGGGAGGCAGCAGUGGGGAAUGUUGGACAAUGGGGGAAAGCCUGAUCCAGCAAUGCCGCGUGUGUGAAGAAGGCCUUCGGGUUGUAAAGCACUUUUGUCCGGAAAGAAAUCCUUGGCCCUAAUACGGUCGGGGGAUGACGGUACCGGAAGAAUAAGCACCGGCUAACUACGUG
rnacentral:rRNA from 1 species